rnacentral:lncRNA from 1 species
CAGAUGCAUAAAAAAUGAGGAUGGAAAUGCCACAAGAUUCUGUUCAAUCAGCAUCAACACGGGCAAAUCUCAGUGGGAAAAGCCAAAGUUUAAACAAUGCAAAUUGCUUCAAGAACUUCCUGACAAGAUUGUGGAUCUUGCUAAUAUUACCAUAAGUGAUGAUUUUCCUAGGCAAUGUCCCUGUGGGAGGGAUUUUGGCUUCCAUAUAUUUGCCUAAAUCACUGACGGAGAGAAUUCCUCUUAGCAACUUACAAACGAUCUUGUUUAAUUUCUUUGGCCAAACUUCACUCUUUAAGACCAAAAAUGUCACUAAAGCAUUAACCACCUAUGUUGUGAGUGCCAGCAUUUCAGAUGAUAUGUUCA